rnacentral:tRNA from 1 species
GUAGCUCAGUGGCAGAGCAUCUGCCUCACAUGCAGGAGGCCCCAGGGUCAAUCCCCAGCAUCUCCA